CCAGCCCCGCCCCCAGACCCAACCAGUCCAGCCCCUCCCCCAGACGGCGGCGUCCCCACCCACAAACCACCGUCACCAAGGCAACGCCGCGCCCCGGUCAAACGGGAACCCACUGACCCAGGAGGCUCUUCAGAGCCACACCAAGCACGCCCAGACCUUCCAGAACCGGAACCAGCAGACCCAGGCCGCCCUGCAGCGCCCUCCGCCCCCCCCCCCUGGUCAUCCCCAUGAGCCAGUUCAAGGAGCUCCCCCGGGAGCGGCUCCAGGACCGGCCCCCCAACAGACCGGCCCCCCGGCCCACCGCCCACCUGCCCGCCGGACAGCGCCUCCGCCUGCAGGCCGACCCGCACCACCCUCGAGCCACGGGCCACGCACCCCGUGGCCACCACGCCCAAGGUCACCACGGCAACCCCCACCAGAACCAGACUCGCAGAGAUAGGCCUCAUUGACGAACAAUGUCCCCUGUGUGCGGCCGCGGUACUCCAGAGGGCCUGUGACUUCAGGGGCCUGUGACUUCAGGGGCCAGGAUCAGGCAGGAAGACCCGUCUCCACCUCAUGGCCUGUCCUGUUGAGUAUUAAUGCUCCUGUUGAGUGUUGAGUGUUGAUUUAAGGGGCGUUGUCACACAGUGUAUGAACACAUGGGCGUGGUCGUUCCUGGGCUUUCCCUCAGGAGCUAUACAUCACAUGACCUAACAGAAGAGAGGCCUCUCCAAUCCCCGGCCCCCUGCUGGCCAAAGCGUGGUAUAACUACACAUACUGGAAGGGCUUCGAGAGGAAGAGGAGGACACGAUCACAGGAGUUACGGUACGACCGAGGCUGUUUUAUUAUCUGAAAGUAUUUAUCUAAUGGUCCGCUUUUACGGGGCCUCGGCAGAGGACCCCGGGGGGGGGGGGGGGGGGGCAACAGUAAGCGCUUGUUAACUAAUCCCUUUUUAUGGUUCUUAAAUGAUUGGGUAAUCACAGCACGGGGUCGCCACGGAGUCACCCGGCGUAGCACCGCCUCGACCGGAUGGGAAAUAAACGCGGUUAACGCACCGAGACACUGGGAGGAAGACACAGGGAAUGUGAUUUAGUGUUUGUUAUUUACUGCCAUUCUUUGUGAUUGUUUACUCUCAGGGAACGAUUGUACAGUGAACAAAGAGGUUUUAUAAUCGGUUUAACGUUAACCCCUAUUGUUAUUUAAAUCUCUUCCAUGAAAUGUAGGACAUCGUUUAUAUGACAUUUAAAUGAAUGCAAAGCUUUUUAAUAACUUCAAUAAUUUCUUUGGCAAAAUAAAACGUUUGAAUGUCAAGAGUAGGCCUACGAUAAGUAACAUCCAAAAUCCCCCAAUUACCUCUCGAAGUUGUUGAGACGGCUGGGCAAUGAGGGCCAUCCCUGUAGUGAGAGGGAUUUAAUCAAACGAUAACCAAAAGAAGCAUUACAUAUGCAGACGCCACCGUUCAGCUCAUAUUUUAUCGUCCCGCAAUGGAAACUCACUAUGCAUCAGGGCAUGAUAUACAUUAAAAAUAGAUGGUACUUAGAAAAUACUGAACUCUGCGGUAUUGAAAAACCCACCGUCCCACGGUCUACAGAGAGUUAUUUCAGUCGCCAUUUACUUGCAUUUAAUGUUGGCAUAGGCUGCCGCUACACGAUUGCCAAUGUCAAUGCUAUCCUGCGCCCAGCCUAUUAACUGUUUAAUAACGAUGACCCCUUAAAUGCCCCCCUUAUGUUAUCAGGUGAGGGAGAACCCAAACAAUUACAUUAUUUAUAUAUUAUAGCCUAAUUCCUUUUUUUUUUUAUGCGUCGAAAAAUAUCUGUGGGGGUAAAUAACAUUGGAGGCGGGCUUGUACUUCAGUUUGUAUGUUUGUUUGUGCAUUAUUCAAGAAAGACUAGUUUGAGUUACAGAUCUUAGCUGGAAUUAAGAUCACUAUCUGCUGUCAGGGAGUGGCCACUUUCAGAAUCAUUAGUGUGUCAAUACUGCCGGUUACUGGGUUACUAUGUGUGUAUGUAUAGAUGUAUCUGAUGGGUUUUUAAUUAAGAUGUAUUUUAUGGUCUGUAUAGGAUGCUGCCUCACUGGACUAUUUAAAAGAACAAGAGCCUUAGGAAUCAAAUGAGCUGUUUAGACUUGCUCUGUCUGAACGGACAGAAUAGGCCUACCUAAUAAAGCCGUCUGAACUUCUGUUCUGAA